rnacentral:rRNA from 1 species
GACGAACGCUGGCGGCGUGCUUAACACAUGCAAGUCGAGCGGUAAGGCCCUUUCGGGGUACGACGAGCGGCGAACGGGUGAGUAACACGUGGGUGACCUGCCCUCAGCUCUGGGAGUAAGCCUGGGAAACCGGGUACUAAUACCGGAUAUGACUCCAUGACGCAUGUUGUGGGGUGGAAAGCCUUGUGCGGCUGAGGAUGGGCCCGCGGCCUAUCAGCUUGUUGGUGGGGUGAUGGCCUACCAAGGCGACGACGGGUAGCCGGCCUGAGAGGGCGACCGGCCACACUGGGACUGAGACACGGCCCAGACUCCUACGGGAGGCAGCAGUGGGGAAUCUUGCGCAAUGGGCGAAAGCCUGACGCAGCGACGCCGCGUGAGGGAUGACGGCCUGGUGUAAC